ACCUGGGUGCCUCAGUCGGUAGAGUAUACGACUCUUGAUCUGGUGGUUGUGAGUUCAAGCCCCACCUUGGGUG
rnacentral:tRNA from 1 species